rnacentral:rRNA from 1 species
CAAGGCUUGACAUAUACGAGAACGGGCCAGAAAUGGUCAACUCCUUGGACACUCGUAAACAGGUGGUGCAUGGUUGUCGUCAGCUCGUGUCGUGAGAUGUUGGGUUAAGUCCCGCAACGAGCGCAACCCUCGUUCUAUGUUGCCAGCACGUAAUGGUGGGAACUCAUGGGAUACUGCCGGGGUCAACUCGGAGGAAGGUGGGGAUGACGUCAAAUCAUCAUGCCCCUUAUGUCUUGGGCUUCACGCAUGCUACAAUGGCCGGUACAAUGGGCUGCAAUACCGUGAGGUGGAGCGAAUCCCAAAAAGCCGGUCCCAGUUCGGAUUGAGGUCUGCAACUCGACCUCAUGAAGUCGGAGUCGCUAGUAAUCGCAGAUCAGCAACGCUGCGGUGAAUACGUUCCC